rnacentral:rRNA from 1 species
UACAGAGGUCCCAAGCGUUUGUUCGGAUUCACUGGGCGUAAAGGGUGCGUAGGUGGUUAGGUAAGUCCGAUGUGAAAUCUCCAGGCUCAACCUGGAAAUGGCAUUGGAUACUAUUUAGCUUGAGGAGUGGAGGGGGGACUGGAAUUCUCGGUGUAGCAGUGAAAUGCGUAGAUAUCGAGAGGAACACCAGUGGCGAAGGCGAGUCCCUGGACACUUCCUGACACUGAGGCACGAAAAGCUAGGGGGAGCAAACAGG